rnacentral:rRNA from 1 species
UGGGGAAUAUUGCACAAUGGGGGAAACCCUGAUGCAGCGACGCCGCGUGAACGAAGAAGGUAUUCGUAUCGUAAAGUUCUGUCCUAUGGGAAGAUAAUGACAGUACCAUAGAAGAAAGCUCCGGCUAAAUACGUGCCAGCAGCCGCGGUAAUACGUAUGGAGCGAGCGUUGUCCGGAAUUAUUGGGCGUAAAGGGUAUGCAGGCGGUUUAAUAAGUCGAAUGUUAAAGAUCGGGGCUCAACCCCGCAAAGCAUUGGAAACUGAUAAACUUGAGUAGUGGAGAGGAAAGUGGAAUUCCUAGUGUAGUGGUGAAAUACGUAGAUAUUAGGAGGAAUACCAGUAGCGAAGGCGACGUUCUGGACACAAACUGACGCUGAGGUACGAAAGCGUGGGGAGCAAACAGG